rnacentral:rRNA from 1 species
GACGAACGCUGGCGGCGUGCUUAACACAUGCAAGUCGAACGGAAAGGCCCUGCUUUUGUGGGGUGCUCGAGUGGCGAACGGGUGAGUAACACGUGAGUAACCUGCCCUUGACUUUGGGAUAACUUCAGGAAACUGGGGCUAAUACCGGAUAGGAGCUCCUGCUGCAUGGUGGGGGUUGGAAAGUUUCGGCGGUUGGGGAUGGACUAGCGGCUUAUCAGCUUGUUGGUGGGGUAGUGGCUUACCAAGGCUUUGACGGGUAGCCGGCCUGAGAGGGUGACCGGCCACAUUGGGACUGAGGUACGGCCCAGACUCCUACGGGGGGCAGCAGUGGGGAAUAUUGCACAAUGGGCGGAAGCCUGAUGCAGCAACGCCGCGUGCGGGAUGACGGCCUUCGGGUUGUAAACCGCUUUCGCCUGUGACGAAGCGUGAGUGACGGUAAUGGGUAAAGAAGCACCGGCUAACUACGUG